rnacentral:rRNA from 1 species
GAUGAACGCUGGCGGCGUGCCUAAUACAUGCAAGUCGAGCGAACAGACGAGGAGCUUGCUCCUCUGACGUUAGCGGCGGACGGGUGAGUAACACGUGGAUAACCUACCUAUAAGACUGGGAUAACUUCGGGAAACCGGAGCUAAUACCGGAUAAUAUAUUGAACCGCAUGGUUCAAUAGUGAAAGACGGUUUCGCUGUCACUUAUAGAUGGAUCCGCGCCGCAUUAGCUAGUUGGUAAGGUAACGGCUUACCAAGGCAACGAUGCGUAGCCGACCUGAGAGGGUGGUCGGCCACACUGGAACUGAGGCACGGUCCAGACUCCUACGGGAGGCAGCAGUAGGGAAUCUUCCGCAAUGGGCGAAAGCCUGACGGAGCAACGCCGCGUGAGUGAUGAAGGUCUUCGGAUCGUAAAACUCUGUUAUUAGGGAAGAACAAAUGUGUAAGUAACUAUGCACGUCUUGACGGUACCUAAUCAGAAAGCCACGGCUAACUACGUG